ACAGACAGUACAGGACUUUAGGGCGUGCUUCUAUGUUAGCACAUUGGAGGUCCUCUGUUCUGAUACUGGUUUAAAGCAGGACAGGAGCUAGAAAGAGUGAAAGAGUAAGAAGAUGAUUUGAAAGAAGAGGAAAAGAAAAAUUACAGAUCUACAAGAACUACAGGAAAAGACACUUUUCAAUUUGAUAGUGUUGUCCAGAAGCUGAAGAGAAGGCAUUUGGUAAACAAGAUGUUUUAAACUAGAAUCAGAAUAUAACUUCAAAAAUGCUUGAAUAUCUAGAGCUUAAACUGGACACAUAAUUUUUAUCUUGGAAAAAAAAUGCAUGAAAUCUAGGGUCCUUUACAAUCAACAGAUGCUAGCCAUUGAUUUCUGCGAAGGCAGGAUUUUUCCCCAGCUUCUCAUCAACAUAUUACUGGAAAAUUUCCUCUGUUGUUCCUUUGUAAUCCAAGAAUGCAAACUUCAGUGGAAGAGACAACUGUCUCCAUACAAUUUCAGCUGACUCGCCACACUCUUGCUCUUCUUCUCUCAUGUCAUCUGUUCCUCCUCUUCCCACAAACAAAUUGCUUAUGAACCAUUUUCUCUUCAUAAAAAAUGCAUUUAGUAACAAGCUUGAAAGAAAUGGUCCUCAUCAGCCAUUUAAUUUGUUAUACUAUGCAAGAAAGAAGAAGCAGAAGAUAGUAUUUUGAAGUGCAGAAUAUUACAGGAAUAGCAACAUUAAAAAGCAGGUCAUGAGCUUUCUGGCAUUCUGAUUGCAGAGAAUUGGUUGUGUUGGCAAGCUAUAGAUGAGAACCACGUAACCACAGCAUUUUAUUUCCUCUCAGAUCUCUCUGAGAUUGACAAAAAAUGAUGCCAUACUUUAAUUUUUCAUUUCAUGCUUCAUUUUUCAUGUAAUGUGUAAAAGAGAUGUUUAAUUUCUGCUGCUGUAGCUGCAGUAGUUGGUGGAUCAUGUGUAAUUAUGCAUAAGAGCACUUCAUUGUUAUGAAAUGAUGAAUUUCAUAAUUUAAAAUAAAUAAACAAAAAGGUUUUAUGAACAAC